GAGCCGCUAGCUCAGUCGGUAGAGCAACGCCCUUUUAAGGCGUGGGUCGCCGGUUCGAACCCGGCGCGGCUCA
rnacentral:tRNA from 1 species